UUGUAUUAAAGAUUAAUUGUUUUAUAAUAUACAAGAGAUUGUAUAUUGUGAGACCAUUUAUUUUUGGUAUAAGAAGGUUACAAUCAUCUUUGUCUAUUAGAUGUGAAAUCCAAUAAAUUGCAAUUGUGUUACAAUAUUUAUUUUAGACUUUGUGCGCAAUUAAUGACACAUCUUUAACCAACUGAUUUUACAUUCAGUAGUCACUAAUGAUUGUGAUCGGCAUGUAUCAAAAGUAAAUUGUUUCAUUGUAUACAAUUUCUAAUAUACAAUCCCUUAUUGAAAUGAGAGUUGAUUUCAUGUCACAUAUCAUUAUAGUAUAAUAAAACCACACGCUUAGAAAGACCUCAAAAACUGUACACACUCUCUCUUCAUCUCAAUAAUUAAUUUUUAAAAAACAAAUUUCAAUUUGCACCCUAGAUUUGGUUAAAAUGAAUCCUCCUUCAACAAUGUAUCAAG
rnacentral:lncRNA from 1 species